rnacentral:rRNA from 1 species
AGUGAACGCUGGCGGUAGGCCUAACACAUGCAAGUCGAACGGCAGCACAGUAAGAGCUUGCUCUUACGGGUGGCGAGUGGCGGACGGGUGAGGAAUACAUCGGAAUCUACUUUUUCGUGGGGGAUAACGUAGGGAAACUUACGCUAAUACCGCAUACGACCUACGGGUGAAAGCAGGGGAUCUUCGGACCUUGCGCGAUUGAAUGAUCCGAGGUCGGAUUGGCUAGUUGGCGGGGUAAAGGCCCACCAAGGCGAGGAUCCGUAGCUGGUCUGAGAGGAUGAUCAGCCACACUGGAACUGAGACACGGUCCAGACUCCUACGGGAGGCAGCAGUGGGGAAUAUUGGACAAUGGGCGCAAGCCUGAUCCAGCCAUACCGCGUGGGUGAAGAAGGCCUUCGGGUUGUAAAGCCCUUUUGUUGGGAAAGAAAAGCAGCAGGUUAAUACCCCGCUGUUCUGACGGUACCCAAAGAAUAAGCACCGGCUAACUUCGUG